rnacentral:lncRNA from 1 species
AAUAAGGAAAAAAUGGGAAAUAACUAAAGAGAAGUUCGGUAUGUAUAAAACAUGCCAAAAAAUAGACGAACACUCCGUGUGGAAUGUUCCAUCUCAUGAUGAGAUCACAGAAGAACAGUAUAGCAUUGUAAAAUAUCCGUAUGCGAUUAAUGAAGAGGUUUUUGGUAAUUUUAAAAUAGAAUCUUUAGAAAAUAAGGCUCUGGUUUAUGACAUUAGGACUAUGCCAUUGGUGACCCCGGGGUUUGCAAUACAAAAAGACAAGGAGAGCUCAAAGAAAAUUAGAUGGAAACGUGGUAUUGGAAAAUAUAGGGGACAAAAAUGUAGCGUGGACGCCGUAAAAUGGUAUGUCAACAUUUUCCAGAAAUGGAAAGAUGUGACAAGUAAUUGGACUAGGAAUUUCACAUAUGGUAAUGGGACGCAGUGUAAAUCAAUAAAGUUACAGGAGACUAUUUUGGACAAAAUAAUGAUGCAGGAAUUUUGGGAUAAAGAAUUAAAUGGGAACCAAUAUCGUACAAGGAAUGAUAGUCUGUCACGGAUUCAAGGGAGGAAAUAUUGGAUUACACAGGGAAACGAUGACAGAAAUCCUUUAAGACAUUGCGUUUUCUAUUACAACCAAAUUCCGGUGAGAAGAUUGACCAAUGGCGAUAAGUCAGUUGAGUUGGGACUUUAUAAGGAGGAGGAAGUCAAACAAUGUUUUUACCUUAAUGCCUAUAAUACAACGCCAAUGUGGGCAUCCAGUGUGGCACCUGACACCCAUGUGAUACCAACGUUAUACCCACAUAUCAAUACUGCCGAAGGAUUAGGAAUAUGCAAUAGAAGUAGUGAAGACUGUUUUACUGCUAAUUCCGCGCUUAGAGGAGUCUAUUGGAAGUGGCUAUUGUUUGUAUUACCUUCAGAAAAGCAUAACGCAGGGGAAAAUCCUGCUCGUCACAAAAGACAUACAAAAGGUCCUGAGAUGAUGAAAUUUCUUCAGAAAUUUCCUAAGGUUCAACAAAGAAUCAUGUGGUAUGAGACGGAUGAGCAUCAGGAAAAUGAUCUGUUAUGCCAGAGUAGAUAUGCAAAAAAUGGAAGGAAUCUUAAUCCCACCGACAAAGGGGGUAGCUGUUUUAGGCAAAUUGUUGGGAUAACGGUACCUAUGAUGACACAAAAUAAAUACAAAAAAUGGG